rnacentral:rRNA from 1 species
AUUGAACGCUGGCGGCAGGCCUAACACAUGCAAGUCGAACGAGUGGCGGACGGGUGAGUAAUGUCUGGGAAACUGCCUGAUGGAGGGGGAUAACUACUGGAAACGGUAGCUAAUACCGCAUACCAUCGGAUGUGCCCAGAUGGGAUUAGCUAGUAGGUGAGGUAACGGCUCACCUAGGCGACGAUCCCUAGCUGGUCUGAGAGGAUGACCAGCCAAACUGGAACUGAGACACGGUCCUGACUCCUGCGGGAGGCAGGAGUGGGGAAUAGUGCACAAUGGGCGCAAGCCUGAUGCAGCCAUGCCGCGGGAAUGAAGAAGGCCUUCGGGUUGUAAAGUACUUUCAGCGGGGAGGCGUUACCCGAAGAAGAAGCACCGGCUAACUCCGUGCCAGCCGCCGCGGUAAUUC